AGGACAAACGCUGGCGGCGUGCCUAAGACAUGCAAGUCGAACGGAAGGCUUCGGCCUUUAGUGGCGGACGGGUGAGGAGCGCGUGGAGAACCUGCCCCGGGUGGGGGAGUAACAGUCGGAAACGAUUGCUAAGACCGCAUACGACCAUUCGUUGCAGGAUGAAUGGGGAAAGCAGCGAUGUGCCCUGGGAGGGCUCCGCGUCGGAUUAGCUAGUUGGUGGGGUAACGGCCUACCAAGGCUGCGAUCCGUAGCUGGUCUGAGAGGACGGCCAGCCACACUGGGACUGAGACACGGGCCCAGACUCCUACGGGAGGCAGCAGUUAGGGAAUUUUUGUCAAUGGGGCGAAAGCCUGAACGAGUGACGCCGCGUGCGGGAUGACGCCUUUCGGGGUGUAAACCGGCUUUUCCCAAGGACGAGGAUGGACGGUACGUUGGGGAAUAAGUCUCGGCUAACUACGCGCCAGCAGCCGC
rnacentral:rRNA from 1 species